rnacentral:rRNA from 1 species
GAUUAUGGCUCAGGAUGAACGCUAGCUACAGGCUUAACACAUGCAAGUCGAGGGGCAUCGAGAAGAAGCUGCUUCUUGCGGCGACCGGCGCACGGGUGAGUAACGCGUAUCCAACCUACCCUUUACACUGGGAUAGCCCGUUGAAAAGCGGAUUAAUACCAGAUGCAGUCCUUUGCGGACAUCUAAGUAGGACGAAAGGUUUUUCCGGUAGAGGAUGGGGAUGCGUCCGAUUAGCUUGUUGGCGGGGUAACGGCCCACCAAGGCGACGAUCGGUAGGGGUUCUGAGAGGAAGGUCCCCCACACUGGUACUGAGACACGGACCAGACUCCUACGGGAGGCAGCAGUGAGGAAUAUUGGUCAAUGGGCGUAAGCCUGAACCAGCCAAAAGUAGCGUGCAGGAUGACCGGCCCUAGUGGGUUGUAAACUGUCUUUUAGUAGGGGAAUAAAGUUCGGGACGUGUCCCGUUUUGUAUGUACCCUAUGAAUAAGGACCGGCUAAUUCCGUGCCAGCCGCCGC